rnacentral:rRNA from 1 species
UACGUAGGGAGCAAGCGUUGUCCGGAAUUAUUGGGCGUAAAGAGCUCGUAGGCGGUCUGUUGCGUCCGCUGUGAAGACUCGGGGCUUAACCCCGAGCCUGCAGUGGAUACGGGCAGACUAGAGGUAGGUAGGGGAGAAUGGAAUUCCCGGUGUAGCGGUGAAAUGCGCAGAUAUCGGGAGGAACACCGGUGGCGAAGGCGGUUCUCUGGGCCUUACCUGACGCUGAGGAGCGAAAGCGUGGGGAGCGAACAGG